GAAGUAAAAUACUCAAUGUAUUCAAGUGCUUUCAUGUAGAAAAUUUCAUUUGAAUACGGCCGGUAGAAAUAUUUUUAAUUUUUCAAAAUAUCGAGUUUUUACGCACAGUCGCACGCACCUGUCACGCUGAAGUUCGGGAAUUCACAAUCAGACCAGAAAUGGAAAUACCAUAGUAAAAGAUGGUGCUAUGCUCUGACAUACAUGAGUUAUCUGAACUUCCCUUCUAGAACGAAAGACUUUUUCCCUCACUAAACCAACCUUGGGACCAUGAGGAUACUAUCCCUGAGCAAUUGCAAAUUGGAUCUGAAUCUGACAAACAUCUUGA